GACGAACGCUGGCGGCGUGCUUAACACAUGCAAGUCGAACGGAAAGGCCCUGCUUUUGUGGGGUGCUCGAGUGGCGAACGGGUGAGUAACACGUGAGUAACCUUCCCUUGACUUUGGGAUAACUUCAGGAAACUGGGGCUAAUACCUGAUAGGAGCUCCUGCUGCAUGGUGGUGUUUGGAAAGUUUCGGCGGUUGGGGAUGGACUCACGGCUUAUGAGCUUGUUGGUGGGGUAGUGGCUUACCAAGGCUUUGACGGGUAGCCGGCCUGAGAGGGUGAACGGGCACAUUGGGACUAAGAUACGGACCAGACGCCUACGGGAGGCAGCAGGGGGGAAUAUUGCACAAUGGGCGGAAGCCUGAUGAAGAAAUGCCGCGUGCGGGAUGAAGGCCUUCGGGUGGUAAACCGCUUUCGCCUGUGACGAAGCGUGAGUGACGGUAAUGGGUAAAGAAGCACCGGCUAACUACGUG
rnacentral:rRNA from 1 species